UGUUUUAGACAAAAGAAGUCUAUGAUUACGGAAAUUAUGUGAAUUCAAAUUAUUAGAGUGAAGUUUCUUAUUCUUGAUGUUGGAUGGAAAUUAUUGUAUUAAGAGCGGUCUUUUGAGAGUGCAGGGUUGCACACUAUUGUUAUCAGUUGAUAAAGGAGUAUUAUUACUGGGAGAAAGCAUCGUAGUGUUUCUUAGUGUUUUAGUGGUUCAAAAUAUAGUUAAUUGUGUGACCCUAAUAAGCAAAAUUCAUGCACUUAGACUUUCCUUAUGUUUGAAUUCCCCUAUACAAGUUUAUUCCAAAAAGAAUUGUAGAAUA
rnacentral:lncRNA from 1 species